ACCAGUAUGGCUGAGUGGUUAAGGUGUUGGGCUUAAGUUCCAAUGGGCUAUUUGCCCACGUGGGUUUAAGCCCCACUCUUGGUA